CACUCCUGCGGGAGGCAGCAGUGGGGAAUUUUGGACAAUGGGGGCAACACUGAUCCAGCAAUGCCGCGUGAGUGAAGAAGGCCUUCGGGUUGUAAAGCUCUUUUGUCAGGGAAGAAACGGUGGUGGCGAAUAACUACUACUAAUGACGGUACCUGAAGAAUAAGCACCGGCUAACUACGUGCCAGCAGCCGCGGUAAUACGUAGGGUGCAAGCGUUAAUCGGAAUUACUGGGCGUAAAGCGUGCGCAGGCGGUUGUGUAAGUCAGAUGUGAAAUCCCCGGGCUCAACCUGGGAAUUGCAUUUGAGACUGCACGGCUAGAGUGUGUCAGAGGGGGGUAGAAUUCCACGUGUAGCAGUGAAAUGCGUAGAUAUGUGGAGGAAUACCGAUGGCGAAGGCAGCCCCCUGGGAUAACACUGACGCUCAUGCACGAAAGCGUGGGGAGCAAACAGGAUUAGAAACCCGAGUAGUCCC
rnacentral:rRNA from 1 species